CCUACGGGAGGCAGCAGUGGGGAAUAUUGGGCCAUGGAGGAAACUCUGACCCAGCAAUGCCGCGUGAAUGAAGAAGGUCUUCGGAUUGUAAAGUUCUUUAGUCAGGGAAGAAGUCAAUGACGGUACCUGAAGAAUAAGCUCCGGCUAACUACGUGCCAGCAGCCGCGGUAAUACGUAGGGAGCAAGCGUUGGUCGGAAUGACUGGGCGUAAGGGGUGCGUAGGCGGUUGUACAAGUUGGACGUGAAUUACCCGGUGCUUAACUCGGUGCUGCUUCUAAAACUGUAUGACGUGGGUGCAGUAGAGGUUAGUGGAAUUCCUAGGGUAGCGGUGGAAUGCGUAGAUAUUAGGAGGAACACCAGAGGCGAAGGCGGCUAACUGGACUGCAACUGACGCUGAGGCACGAAAGUGUGGGGAGCAAACAGGAUUAGAUACCCCUGUAGUC
rnacentral:rRNA from 1 species